CCCAUUAAAACAUUUUGCUCAUUGAUCUGCAAAUGAUUGCGUGCAUCAUGCAGCAAAUUCACAUGUAUUUUCCCUGUCACGGGUGUUGUCACAUUUGGCAUAGAGCCUGUAUCAAUUUAUCCUUAUUUACUUUCCCCAAAAACCCAGGGGUCUGGCGGGAAUGGAUUACAUUUGUAUCCCAACAGUUGAAAAAGGUCCAACAGGUUCUGGCAUUAUUAGCUACACUGACCGUUAUUGUUUAAAUUGUUCCAUCGGCUACAGGAUCCGGUCGGCAAAGCUUGAUUGUUCAUGUAAGUAAUUAUUUCCUUGACUUUUGCAUAGCUGACUAAGUGGUAACAUGCAAUGUUCGCUAGUACAGCUAGCUAGCUGACAACCUAAACAAACUAGACCAUGCAGACAUUUGGAUGAUCCAGAAGUGACUGAAAGGGGGCAUACUACUCAGAAAGAUGCACUUUUGAGGCAUUGGAUCAAUGUGAAUUCCAUGGGGGUUUUUUGGACAUGAUGGUUUUUCAACACGGACGGCCUGGCCCUGCACUGAUCUUGACUGAGUAGCUCGGCACCACGGUAAUGACAGUCAGAAGGGAUGGCUGUACGUGGAGACACAUGUCUGUUCCGGACCCUUCAAACGUCCACCCAAAACUCCAGCUACGUGUGAAUAAAGAGGACAGGAAGUGGCAGUUUGGCAGCUCCAACCAGGAGUGUCACUCUCAAUUGCGUCCCCUGCCAACUUCAGACACGUCGCAUGGCCGAGGAGGUCACGGCGCUGGCUCCGCUUGCUCGCUGCUUUUUUUUUGGAAUGCUCUGUCUCCUCAACAGGGUUUUUCCACGCCACCUACACGACACCACGCAGUCCAGACGAGACACUGACAUACGGAAGACGCAGAGGCAGAGCGACGGCCCAUUUUUGAAAGCUCUGAUAAAACAUGAGGAUGUCUUGUCAGAUUACGCUGAUGCACAGUGUCAGAAUGUCUGUGGUGUCAAAGUACUGUGUCCUAAGCUUGCCUACAUCCCUUCCUUGUCCAGACGCUGAAUCCUCAUCUUGAAGGAUGUUCAGAUGGAAAAUGGAAUUUCCUCAGCUUUAAGGAACGACUUAAUUCAUGCAAAUAUUAACCUCUGAGUAGUCUCUCAUGUCAAGACACGGUAGAUGUUAAUUUAAAAGACUGUGAAAUGCCUCGCAUGUAUAAGCGUGUCCAUUUUUGACACUCACAGUAUAUUUUGCAUGUGUCUGUAUUGUAGGUUACAAUAUGUGUAUAGUGGGAAUAAAAGCCAUG
ensembl:lncRNA